rnacentral:rRNA from 1 species
CGGGUGAGUAAUGUCUGGGAAACUGCCUGAUGAGGGGGAUAACUGCUGGAAACGGUAGCUAAUACCGCAUAACGUCGCAAGACCAAAGAGGGGGACCUUCGGGCCUCUUGCCAUCGGAUGUGCCCAGAUGGGAUUAGCUAGUAGGUGGGGUAACGGCUCACCUAGGCGACGAUCCCUAGCUGGUCUGAGAGGAUGACCAGCCACACUGGAACUGAGACACGGUCCAG